rnacentral:hammerhead_ribozyme from 1 species
AAGCGAAACCGCCCGGGUGUCCGGGCGGUCGGCCGGGCGUGGUGGCCCGGCCCUGACGAGCAGCCUGUG